ensembl:lncRNA
CACUCACAGAUAUUACUCAGAUGUCUGUUCAUUAGAUUAAACCAGUAUAUGUCAGGCGUCUACUUUCUACUUUCACCUUUCUUCGUGGGGUCUGUAUCCUCUCUUGAGAAACUUCUCUCAAUAUUGAAGAGUGGUUGAAAUGAAUACUGACCGAAUACAAUGCGGUUCUGAACUAAGGACCGCAAUAAGCAGUGAUAUUGAAAAGCAAAAAACUAAAAUGUGAAUUUCGAAUAUUGCUUUUAUUUCCUUGAAAACGAUGUGCUCUACAUGUCUGACAGCAAGUGUGUGUUACGCACACAGAGACAAGGUGAUGAUCGUGAUCAGGAUUUUUUUGGGUAAAUAUGGGGCAUAUUUACCAUAGCAAAAUAUGAAAGUAGUCAUAUUUUAUUUUGGAUUGUAUAGGGAAGAAUGUGUCUUGGUCAGAGAGAGAUGUACUGUAUGUUUACAGAAUUAAAAUCAAUAAAUGAUAGCAGCUUUGCCAAACACAGAAGAUAUGUGGAAACAUUCUAUGUCAAGCGGUAUGGCCAGAGGAAUCAAAUUGGACUUUUUUCGACAAGUUUCAUUUUUUGUUAAAGACAGAAAUAAUGUAAUUGACCAAUAAUACAGUUUAACAACUGAGCAGACCAAAGUACACUAUAUCUCUUUCCAUGGUUCGUUGGCAGUCUUAAUGUUUCUUGGCCUUAAUAAUUCUAUUAGGUUAUCUCUUAGGAUAAGACUACAGUCUACAUCAAAGGCCAUGGUAGACAUUUUUUAUACAUCAUAAUUGGCAAUCAAUAACUUACAAGUUAUAUUUUACAUGCACUUUUGUACUUGGCUGACUUCGCUUCAAUAACCAGAAUUAGAAGCAACAAAAACAAAGGUCAAAGGUCAUAGAUAGGCCAGAAAUACUCCACAGUCAAUGAAAAAAGUGCUUUGUUAAGUAACGAGAGCGUGAGAGAGAGAGAUCAUGUUUUUUUUCUGUUGUUUUUCUGUUGUACAGCAGAGCGGAAUCCUCCUCCAGCGCCGGAUGAAGUGUCCUCCGUCAUUUUGAGUACCGAGCAAAUGGGGACUGCUCGUUCAUUUUG